rnacentral:tRNA from 1 species
AUUUAUAUAGUUUAAAAAACAUUACAUUUUCAAUGUAAAAAUAAUAAUGAAUGUUAUUUAUAAGUA